GGCCAUCAACUUUAGGACUACUCUAAUCCUAACACACUUAAUCUUUUUAAUUUUUUAGGUCCAGCCAUCGCUUAAAAUGCUAUAGUUAGGUUAAAAGUUUAGUCCUACUAUGUCUUGUAUAUUAGACUAUUUCAAAAUUUAGGAGUGUCAUAGUCUCUUCUACUUUAAGCUCUUAGGUUCUUAUCAGGUUCAAGUACACUCACAAGUAUCAGACGAUGUAAGACUCAUCUAGCUAGCUUUAGCCGACCUUGUGUGGAGUUGAGCUCCAUCCACAACGAUCGUCAGUCGGAGAGCCGUCCUCUACCCGUUGUGUGACUCUAAUUCAGCUGAGUUUCAUCUCAUAUUUUCAGCUGGUGAUUGGCUCUGAUACCAACUGUGACGCCCCACUUUUCAGGGAGUCACCCAUUCAAUAACUAUUAUAGCUCUAACAC
rnacentral:lncRNA from 1 species